GACGAACGCUGGCGGCGUGCUUAACACAUGCAAGUCGAACGGAAAGGCCCCUUUGGGGGUACUCGAGUGGCGAACGGGGGAGUAACACGCGAGUAACCUGCCCUUGACUUCGGGAUAACUUCAGGAAACUGGGGCUAAUACCGGAUAGGAAUCCUUGCUGCAUGGGGGGGGGUGGAAAGCUUCGGCGGUUUUGGAUGGACUCGCGGCGUAUCAGCUUGUUGGUGGGGUAGUGGCUUACCAAGGCGUUGACGGGUAGCCGGCCUGGGGGGGCGACCGGCCACCUUGGGACUGGGAUACGGCCCAGACCCCUACGGGAGGCCGCAGUGGGGAAUUUUGCACAAUGGGCGGAAGCCUGAUGCAGCAACGCCGCGUGCGGGAUGGCGGCCUUCGGGUUGUAAACCGCUUUCAGCAGGGGCGAAGCUUGUGGUGACGGUACCUGCAGAAGAAGCACCGGCUAACUACGUG
rnacentral:rRNA from 1 species